UUCCAAGCCCAACCUUAAUGUCUUGUGCUAAAUAAAAACCAGAUAUGUGUCUAACAGGUAGAAGGACCAUAUCACUUAUAGCCAUUAUCAUUCAAUCAGUCUGUAGAUUGGAUUUCCUGAAUUGCAAGACAUCAAAAGAAAUCACUUGAGCCAAUUUUUCACAAGCUUAAUGAUUAAAAUUGUUGUAUAUAAGUCUACCAAUUAUCUUCUUGUGAUACACACAUAGGUUAGACAUUUUAAUACACCAAAAAAUAUACUCUUCUGAGCUUAAUGUUGGAAGGUUUUUAAGAGAGUUUUCUUUUUUCCUUUGAUAAGUAAAGAUGUAAGAUUAUAGACAUGGGCCAAAGAAAUAGUGCAUCAAGGUAUGCAGGUCUUUACGAGGGUCAGUUUUGACAAGAGUUAGAAGUCUUUUACUGCAUUUGAACUGCGUAGAGGUAAUCACUAUGAUCCUGUUUCAGCUAUAAAGAAAACUUAAUUUAUAAUAAGCUUAUGCAAGGACAUGAAGGUACACAAACUAUUUUCCUUUUAUUUUUUAAUGAACAAUUAAGUGAACCAAAGAAAGGAGUUGAUUAAAAAUAUAAAAUUUUUGUUAUACAAAUUCUGUUUUAUGUAUUCCUAUGCUAAGUUAAAUAUCUCCCAAUUUUUUUAUGUGAUGUUUAAUGUAAUAAGAAGCUGAAAAUAUAAGCAAUGUGCCUGGAAGUGAAGUGUGUAGAUCAGUAGAUUGAAUGAAAAUGACAAGGGGAAACUUUGGUGGCCAAGAAAUUAGUGGUUUGAAGAAAUAUUUUGGUUGGGUAAUGCUACAAAAAUAUGCUUCUAGGAAUAUCUUUGGUUGAGAAACUCUUAUUAUUUUCUUAGUGCUAGUUUCUUCCUCCCCAUCUAUAUCUUAUAACUUCAAUUUUUGCUGCAGCUUCUUAAAGCAAGGUAUUGAGGAACCUCUAAUAUUUGCUUUAGCCCAUGUCUAUUUGUCACUCGCAUUUUCUAACAUGAGAGUUUGGUCCUCAUCACCGUUAGGAUUGUUCUUAGGAUUGAGGAACUAGCUCCUUCUUUAAUGCUAUCUUUGCUUCUAUCAAUUCAGUUCCUUUUAUUCCUGUAAGUUUUAUUUGGAAAUCCAAAGCCUGACCAAAAGUGAAGGCCUUUGCAUGAGUUGUGGAAAAUAAGAACAUCAAUACAAAUGACUUGCUCCAACAAUGAAGACCAUACAAAGCACUUAACUCGGAAUGAUGUAUCAUGUGCAGGGGGAGUGGGGGAAUCUAUACAUCAUGUUGUUUUUUAUUUUUAUUUUAUAAGUAAACAAGAUAUGCAAUAGAAAACAUCAUGUUGUUUUUUAUAUUGCCCUGUAGCAUCAAUAUUAUGGUGUAGAUUAUUUCCAUUUGUAAGGAUUGAUUGUGUUCAACCUAGAAGGAUGGAGGAGAUAUUGAUUAUGUCCUUUAGAGGUUUUGGGGGAUUGCCUACAGUCCUCUACCCUAUAACAAGGAUGACCAUUGAUUUAUUGCUUUGUGACAAUUUGGAAUAGGAUCUUGAUUCGCGGUGUGAGGAACUAAUCAAAGAAGAGUUUGGGGAGGACUGUAAUUUUGAUGUGGAUGAUGCUGUUCAAAAGUUAGAGAAGUUAGGCAUUCUGGACCUAUCAUUUCUGUAAGUUGAUGCGAAAGGGCUAUCAUACCAAAUCUUAUUCAAAGAAAAUGAAACCAUCAUAUACAAAGUAAUUCAAUUAUAUGACUGAUUGCAUUAGUUGUUUUACUGGGACCUUGAUAAGGGACUUCAAUAUUGCUACAUACAUGAUUUGUCUGUUCCUCAAUGGAAUUAUUUUAAGAAAUUGCAUGGAGUAUGCUUAUGGAAAGUCUACGCAUUUCUACAGGCACUUAUCAUCACACAUAUACAUACUAAAGAAAAUAAUUUAUAUAUAUUUAGGGAAACAUAAAUUAUUAGGAUAAAUUUAGUUCUCAGUAAUCAGAUUGAGGGCUUUCUUAGAAAAAAUCUCAUUGAUGUUCUUGACCCCUGUUGAUAUAUUUCUCUGUUUCACAUCUUGCCUACAUCUCUCCCUUUGUAGAUAUAUGAGAGAGGGAUAGGGUUGGUUUCUGUCUAAUCUGACUAUAUGUUGAUUUCAGGACACAAUUGGAAGGUAUUACUGUGUUGGAUUGAAGCAUGCUAAUGAUAUCAUCGGAACAACCACAGAGGAGCUUGUCCUCAAGGCAAAACAGGGUUCCUUGAUUUCCUGAUGCUGUGUGGCUAAGGACCUAAGGUAAGCUUGCUCUCUCUCAUAUGCAUAUCAAGAAUAAUUCAAACUUGUGUUUUUUGUAAUUACUCUUGAAAAUUUAACACCCUAAGAGACAUCUGCAGGUGUUAAUUCUGCUAUCAAGCACCUAAGAGCAGACAAUUCAGCUUAGAGGUUUUCCAGUUCUUUUUUUUCUUGUUUUUUUCUAUUUUUUUUUUUAUUUAAUGGGUUCUUUCUAAAGGCACUUGUCUAUUAAUGUAUGUAAUUUGAUUUGACAAGUUUAUUCCCAUUCUUUCUUUUCUCUAUCUCUCUCAAAGGAAAAAAAACAACAAAAAAAACUGUGUGCAUGUAAUUUGGCAAGAUUUCCAGAUUGUGAAUCUGUCCAGGAUGCAAAAGCCUACUGUUAUGCUAAGAACAUUCAUGUUGUGUUGGAUGGAAUUUUGGGAAUGGUUUCUUUGUGGAAUCCUUUGUAAGAUGACCGUCAGCAGCGAAAUGAAGAGCCACUUUUUUGCUUCUUUGUGGUUGUUGCCUUGUUGGGAAUAUAGGACAUGAAAGCUUGGGUUUUGGCAAUGCCAUUCCGGAUGAGAUCUCCUCAUCCGGAUUCCACCUCCUUCCCAAAAUGCAUUCCAUUGAAUUGCCUUGACUGACACCGGAUACUAGACACUAGUCACACUAUGUAGCAGGACAAAUCUGUAAAGAACUACUAUCUCUGCUCAACUCCAAAUUGGAGAUUCUAACUCUAGAAGGUUGUACAAUGCAUGGUACUUCAAAGAUUGGUGCAGCAGUAUUAUAAUUACUAAAACUAACUUGUUUUUUAUUUUUUAUUUUUUCCCUUGAAUCUUGCAGGAUGUGUAAACCUGGAGCUUCUUCCAAGAGGCAUUUACAAGUGGAAACACCUUCAAACUUUGUCUUGCAAUGGCUGUUCAAAGCUAGAGAGAUUUCCAGAAAUCAAAGGCAAUAUGAGAGAGCUAAGGGUGCUUGAUUUGUGUGGAACAGCUAUAAUAGACUUACCAUCAUCAAUUACAAAUCUAAAUGGUCUUCAAACUCUCCUACUUCAAGAGUGUUUAAAGCUCCACCAAAUCCCUAAUCAUAUUUGCCACUUAUCAUCAUUGAAAGUAUUGGAGUUGCCACUUAUCGGUAUUUUGUGGAGAGGUAGUAGGUGUCAUUCUUGAAUUCACUGUUUUUAUCAGCUCCAGGAUGCUAUUGGAGGCUCUUGAAAGCAAUCGGAGGUACUUGGGUUGUUGAGGCCUUAGCCGGUCAGCAAAGGCCAGACACCAGUAGAGGUGUUCACAUUUUCUACUUUCAGCAACAAGAAUGUUACAUUAUGUUUACCUCUGAAUCACCUUAUGAUUUUUAUAUUCAAUAUUCUUGUUCUCUCUUCUUCUGAAAUGGGCUGAUAGCAGAUUACUUAACCUGAAGCAGGAACUUAUGAAGAAUCUGGUUGGAUUGGGCACACAGGAAAUAGAGGGAGUGAUGGUACUUGCAGUCACAAACAGGCCUUUUGAUCUUGAUGAGGCCAUUAUUGAAAAAGGUCGAAGCUUAGAGAAUCUUGAAUUUAAAACCUCAAAAUUCAUCCUGAUCUAUGAGAAAGCAAUCUCCUAGAAGGAUCCACUAAUUGUGUGGCAUAUUAACUGCCAAGCAGCCUUGGUUUUUCUCUCUAUGUACACAUCUACACUUAGAUGAUGACUACAAAAGCAACAAAACAAAUCCAACAACAGUGCAUCACUGUGAACUUUACAAAGAUAGAAUAGAAACCACACUCAUAAACAGGGCAGCUUAUAACCCUGUUCGUUAAACCCAUCUAACAGAAUCCAAGAAACAUUCCAUAGAUUAUAUAUGAAAAUAUAGGCACAUGCUAUAAGAGUCUACAGUCUCACUGCAGCAAGAUCAUCAGAGAGUUUAAAAGGAUGGAUAUUCAUGGAUCAAAGCCAAAAAUUCAAAAGUCGAUCAUAAGGACAGGAUGCAUAAACAGAACCCAAGUAAAAUUCAGCAAACAAAGCAUCCACAUACCAAUCAGAGAAAUGGUGUAAGAGAGUCUGAACAACUAAUUCAAAAGGGUUGCAAAGAUAGAAAUUAAACUCCCAACCACCCAUUGAAUACUCCUAAUUUGGUCUUGUUGAGACAAAAAAAAAACCCAAAUACCCGAUACCCACAUUCUUUGUAAUCUCAAACAAAAUCAAUAGCCUAUAAAUCUUUUCUUAAAAAUGAACUCAAACAAAAGAAACACCCACUCAGCUCCUCUAACAGAGCCUAGAAAUCCUAAAAUUAUCUUAGGACCUGCAACACGUGAACUCAAAAACCCUAAACAGAGCACUUACAUAUGUGAACCAGAAUAGAGAAUGAGAGUUUUAGAGAGAGAAGUACUGGGAAAUGAGACUCGACUGCUCUAUUAAAAUCCGAAAAUCCAAAAUAAAUUUGGGUUGAGGGUUACCUUCAAUCAGAUCAACAAUGUCGAAUGAAAGUGAAGCGUCUUUCCAACUGUGUAGUCUCGGAUGGAGAGCGAUUGAGGAGGAGAAUGAAGAAAUUACCGCUUUGGGGAUGAGGUGAGGGUUGAGGAUGCCAGUUGCAGAAAGCUUUGAGGGGAUGGGUGGGCUAAGGUCGGGCGUCGGGCGUCGGGCUUUGAGGGGAGGUUUCAAACAAGGAUGAAAAUUUCUGUUCUUUUGGCCGAAAUUUCGGCGAAAUUUCGUGUUUCCGAGGUCGGCGAAACGAAAGAGGGGGGCGAAAUGUCGACGGAAGAAAUAUCCGUAAAUUUCGCCAAAAAUCGCCUCCGGUUGAAAAUUUUCGGAGAAAAAUCGUUUUGUUUCGGUUUAUUUCGGCGAUUUUUCGGCAAAAAAAACAGAAAUUUUCCUACCAGUCCAGCCCGCGCACAGGAUACAAAAUCUGAUCAUGAUUCGCAGGCAAAGCUUGUGUUUUUCAGCCUGGCUCAAAAAACGUGGAUUUAGGGUUCGUGAAAUUUAAAUCCAAUGGCACAACAGCAAAGAGACCCCUAAAACAGAUCCAGAAAACACAGGGAGCAAAAGAAAAGCAAUUUUUUUGGUUUUCUUUGGGGGUUUUGCAUGGAUUUUCUCGGAAAUCAAACGAGGAUGAAUUUUCCCGGAAAUCGAAUGGGGGAUGGAUUUUCUAUGGAAUCAAACGUGGGUUGCAAAAAAAAAAAAAAAAAUGUUUAGAUUAGUACCUGCGAGGAUUGAGAGUGGCAGAGGAAAAUAGGGCCUUUUUAGGGAUUCUGUCGGAGGGCAUCUUCAGAAAAGGGCAUGCCCGGGUGAGAGAAGUGGUGUGGCCCUUUUGAUUUUCAGAUUUAGUAGAGAUAAAAAAAAAAAAAUGGAAACAAAUUGUGGCCCUGUGCAUUGAUGGUCCAAAUUGAAGCUUAAUGUAAUCAAAUGAUCAUAAUUGAACCUCAUACACACUAUUGAUAUUUACUAGAAUAAGUUUUUCAUAAAAUUUUAUAAUAAGUGUAUAAGUACAACUGACAAUAUAAUUAUAUCUAAUAUCGUGAUUCACAAAUCAUAUAUAUAAUAUAUAUAUAUAUAUAUAUAUAUAUAUAUAUAUAUAUAUAUAUCAAAUUUUUCAAUAAAAUAAUUUUAAAUUGUCUAUUAUACUUCUAAUUAUAUUAUUACAAGGUUUUUUACAUUUUCAUGAAUUUUGAUCAAUUUUUUGCUUAUCAAAAAUUUUUUCCAAAAUAUCCGUUGAUAUUUCGUCGAUAUAGCCAUAAAAUCAAAUUACCGAUAUAUCCGUAAUUACCAAUAUUUUUAUCAUUGGUUUCAAAAACUGGCUUUUUUAUUUUAAAAAAAAAAGCCAAAUAUUUUGGCUUUUUCCAUUUAGCCAAAAAAUUUUAAAAUUUAGUAAUAAGUCAUUAAAAAUUUUAAAAAACAAACAACUUAAAUUCUAAAAGCAAAUUGCUUUCAGUAAAAAACCAAAAAAAUAAACACCACCUUACUCUAGUAUAUAUUGAUUCUUUGAAUGUCUUAGUAAAAAAUUGAUAUUUUAACAAAUGAUAAAAAUAUUCUUAUUGAUUGAGGAUGUAUUCUAUGAUUAUAUUUAUUAUUUUUAUUUACCAUAUAUUUUUCUCAAAUAUUAUUCAUAUAUGAAAUUGCAUACGUUAUCUCAAGAUGAACAAAAAAAAAAGUUCAUUUUGAAAAUUGUGCAACCACUCAAAGAAUUCUUUGAGAUAAAAGACACAUUUUUCAAAUAAACAUUAACAAAUGCUAAAUUUAACACCAUAUCAAAAGUUAUAUGCUAAUUGAAGGCUAUAAAAAACAAAUAUUAUGCUAUCAAAUGAAGGUAGAUUUUAUCUAAAUGAUGCUUUAUAUAUUCUAACAAAUCUAGAAGAAAAAAUUAUUCAGCGUUAAAGAUAUUCAUAGAAAUAGGUAUUUUAUUGAAACUAUGAAUGAAGGUAAGUAGAAUAUCUUUAUAUUGUCUCUAUUACUUCUAAUUAAAAGCACAUAGUAGAAAAGUUAUUGACUUUCUCCUUUAGACAAAUAUGAGGCUGAUUGAUCAUAUGUUGUUAUAUAUUUUAUUGCAAAUACUCCAAUGUGAAUUGAUGUCCUUGCAUGACAACUAAUAAAUGAAUCUAGCAAAGUCCCGAAGUGUGUUAGACUUACUGACUUAAAGGAUAUAAUUCUCUGAAGAAGGAGAAUACAAGGAAAAAUUAACACUCUUGAAGAAUUAAAAAAAAAAAUGGUUGAUCAAUGACGAACAAUAGCCCUCAAAGAGGCACAAAUAAAACAAAUAACUCCUAAAGAGACAUAUUUAAUAAGUAGCCCACUAAAGAAGUAUAAAUUGAAUGAGUAGCCCUUGAAGAGGCAUAUGCAUCUUACAAUAAUGAGAUCUUAAUAAGUUAUUAACAACUCUUUCGCUUUUCAAGUGGCUUUUGAGCUCAUAAAAAAUGAUUAAGAUCCCGAACCUCAAAAUAUGAAGAAUCCUGACAUAAAAAUGAUUGAUUAAAAUGGAAAGAAGUUGAAAGUAGUAAAGGAAAAAAAAUCUUCUCUUCUUAUUCAUUAUGAGUUUAUACAGAGUAUUUAAAAUACAAAAGAAUUGAGAAAAAGGAAUUAAUAUUCCUAACCUAAUUAGAGAUUUGAUAGCCUAAUUCUAAACCUAAUUUUUAUCAAUUAAAGAAUUAUCUAAUGAAUAUAUAUCUAACAGCUAUAUAGAUAGUUGUAACAUAUACAACUAUACUAGUCAACUAUAUGAGAGUAAUUAUAGAAAAAAUUGAGUGUAAUUAGGUUCAUAUUCAAACUUAAAUCUUCCAACACUUCUCCUCAAGUGGGUGCAAAGAUAUUUUGCAUUCUAAGCUUGUCUAAGAUAUGAUGAAAUGCCAAUCAAUUUCCACAUUUUUUGUACAAUCAUAAUAUAUCGGGUUAUGAGCUAUAUUAAUAGCUAUCUUAUUGUCAUAAUACAAUAUCAUAGGAUCUUUUAUCUUGAUCUUAAGGCCAAUGAGCAUAAUUAUUAGCCACAAUGGCUUGCAAAUGCCUUGAGUCAUAACUCUAAACUCAACUUUUAGACUUGAUAAAGUAACAAUGGGUUAUUUCUUACUUCUCCAAGUGAUGAGAUUACAUCCUACAAACAUAUAAUAUCCAUUUGUUAACUUUCUAUCUACUACAGAUCAUGCAUAAUCUACAUCAGUGUAGGCUUCCAAUCUUAAAUCAUCAUUUCUUUGAAAUAUUACUCCUUUACCCAAGGUAGCCUUUAGAUAUCUAAUAAUUUUGAAUAUAACUUCUAAGUGGGAUUUUAGUAGAACAUGUAUAAAUUGACUGACUAUACUUAUAGCAUAAGCGAUAUUUGCCCAUACAUGUGAUAUAUAAAUCAAUUUUCCCAUCAUUCAUUGAUAGGUGCUUCGAUUUGUUGAACCUUCUUCGAUUUUCUCCCCUAGCAUUUGGUUUGCCUCAACAAGAGUCUUAAUUGGUUUACAUCCUAGCACACAUGUUUCUUGUAUAUAUAUUUGUUGCAAGAUAAAAUCUCUUAUUCAGAUCAAGCAACUUCUAUACAUAGAAAAUAUUGUAGACUUUCCAAAUCUUUAAUUUCAAUUUCAUUUAAUUUGCUAAGUAUGUUUUUAGUUUUAUAAUCUUCUAUUAAUCAUCUCUAGUGACUAUAAUAUCAUUAACAUGGACAAAAAAUAUUAGUUAUCUUCUCUUGGGGAGAAGGCUUUAUGAACAAUGUGUGUUCACCUUGAAUUUGACAAUUCCUUCUUUUUACCAUGGAUUUUGCAAACCCCUCAGACCAUGCAUAUAAGGACUAUUUGAGUCCAUAGGGAGACCUUCUAAGUCUACACACUUUGCUCAUCAAUGCUUUGUGAACAUAUAAAAGUGGGACGCCCAUGUACACUUUUUUUUCUAGAUUGCCAUGAAGGAAGACAUUUUUUAUGUCAAGUUGUCGUAAUAACCAAUCUAGAAUAGCUACUAAAGACAAUAGAAUCCUAAUGGUGUUCAUCUUGGCUGCUGAUGCAAAUGUAUCUUAGUAGUCUACUUCAAAUGUUUGAUUGUACCCUUUAGCGACUAACCUUGCCUUAUACCAUUUAAUGGUCCCAUCAUCUUUGGAUUUAAUGGUGUGGAUCCAUUUACAUCCAAUUAUUUUCUUCUCCUUGGAUAAGUGUACGAUUCCCCAUGUUUUUAUUUAUUUAUUUAUUUUAGAAGGUUCUCAUCUCCUUUUUCACAGCCUCCUUCCACCGUUUCAUGUUCAGUGUUUCAUAAACUAUUGUAGAAAUUUCAUGGAAUGAUAUUUUGAAAGUGAAAGCACGAUCUUGUGGGAAUAGUCUCUCAAAUGACACAAAGUGAGAGAUUGGAUGUUGAGUGCAUGAUCGAGUUUCCUUCCUAAGAGUAAUAAGCAAAUCCAAAUCAUUGUUAGCAUAAACAUCAUGAUUAACAUUUUCAUUACUUGAUAUCAAGUCGAAAUUUGGGACUUAUGGAAUGAUAAAAAGUUUUUUUUUCCUAGAGUACACCUUCAUAGUAGGCAUAUUGGACCUCAAAUUCUCUAUUUCUAUAAGAAUCAGUGAUGUUUUUACAUUUCUAAAUUUUUAGCAAAUGUUAUUUCUAGUGAAGGGUUUAAUAAAAGUAUGGUUUGAGACUCUUUUGUACUGAAAUUGUUUAAGGACACUAGAAGUACUUGGUUUUGAUUAAGAAAACUUGAAAUAGUUUGGUUUUGAGCAACAUUCAAAUUACUACUUCCUUUGUUCCCAUUGUCAUAAAAAAACCUAUCUAGGACACAAGUGAGGUUUGAAAUUUAACUUAUGCUUGUCUAGUUGGUGGAUGAUAACACUUUGCUUCUUUUUUUUUGGGACCUAGAAAUAUACAUUAAAAAAAAACCUUAGAAUCGAAUUUACUUCUCAAAUGGUUGUGAACAAGGAUGAAAAUAUUGAUUUUGACAAAAAUAUAUUGAUAACUUGAUUUUACAAAUAUAUCAAGAUAUAUCGAAAAAUAUUGAUGGAUAUUUUGACACAAAAUAUCAAUAAAACUAAAAUUAAUUAAAACUCAUUAAAAUAUUAAAAAAACCUCUUAAAAAUUAUAUAUAUUAACACAAAUAUCAAUAAAGAAGUGGUUAUAUUUGUCAAAAUCAUCAUGAUAAAGUGUCAUGUGAAAAAAAUAAAUUUGUUAAUUGUUAAUAAAUGAGUGUUGGAUAAUACUACGCUAAAUAACUUUGAACAGUUAUGAGAUUUUCAUUGUAUCGAAAUUUAAUAUAAAUGUAAUUAUAUUCCUCAAAAUUAUCCUAAUGAAUUUUUGUUUUAAAAAAAUUAAUAAAUCUUCAUAAAGUUGCUCUAAAUUCUUAAUUGAAUAAGUCUUUUGUCCAAUCCUAUGAAAAUUACUUAUCUAACCCCUCCUUUCUUUACUUAACUUCAAAAUUUUAUAAGUUAAUUUUCUCCAACAUCUUUAUAAAUCCUUUUAUUAUUUGAAUAUUAUAAUAUAUUUUUUUUAAUUUCAAAAUUUAAACUAAAAAUAUAUUGAAUAUGUCAUUAACUACCAUUACUAGCAUUUGAAACUCCGAAUUUGUAUUAACUUUAGGUGGUGUUUGUUUUUUUACUUAACUCCAAAUAGAACUUUAAUGUUUAAUAGUAUUAAGUAUUAAAUUGUUUGUUUUUGUAAUAUUUUAUUUUUAUUAAGUAUUAAAAAAUAAAGAAAAAUCAACAUAUUGUUUUUUUUCCAUUUAGUAAAAAGUUUAUAAUAAAUUAAGAAAAAGUAGAAAAACAAAUAAUUUAAAAUUUAAAAACAAAUUAUUUUCAGUAAAAAGUUAAAAAAAAUAAACACUCUUUUUAAGUGUUUUGAAUUAUAAAUUUACCUAAUUAAUCCUUUUUUUUCUUUACCUUUAAUAAGGUAUGUUUUCAAUUUAAAUUUCAAAAUAAUAAAUAAAUUUAUCAUAAUAUUUAAAUAAUAAAAAAAUUAUUAGGAUGGUAGAAAAAUUAACUUAUAAAAUUUUGAAAUUAGAAGAAAAAUGACUCACCAAAAUACGAAAGUCAAAAUCUUUCUGAAAAUAAAUUCCUAUUUAAAGAGUGCAUAACCUUAUGAAUAAGCUCAUAUUAAGUCAUCAAAUUUUGAAUUCACCUCAAGAUUCUUCUUGAAAGGUAAGGGGUAUGAAUAAAAACCAUUAUAUAUAUAUAUAGUAAAGGAAAGAAUUCAAUAUAAAAUAGAGAACCAUCAUUAUUAUCUUAAAAUUCUAAUUCGAAUUUUAUUCUUUGUUAAAUUACUUUUAUCAUAUUUUAAAUUUAAAUUAAAUAAAAUUUAUAAGAAUGUUCAAAAUUAAGAAAUCCCUACAACUUUAUAACUUUUGGAAAUUAAUAACCUUUAUUUCUAAUCCAUCAUUAUGCUAUUGAAAUUUGUUAUAAAUAAGAGAGGAAAAAACAAAAAUUAUUUCUAAAAGCAAAGAAAAAAAAACAUGUAAAGUGAAAAAAAAAAAAGGAGCAAUAGGAGUUUGACAGGAGGAGGGGGGAGAAUAUGGAAGAAAGAAGUGAAAAAGGUCAAAGAUAGGGGGCAGAGUCAGAGGAGUAGGGUGUGUUGGAAAGUGAGAAGUAGGGGGAGCCUGGAGGGAGAACACAUACAAUGUACCACAUUAAAGCAGAUGAUGCCCAAUUCUGAUUCGUAUCUCUAUCUACUUCCACAUAUAUUCUCUCUAUACAAAGCACCCAUCAUUCAUCAUCAUCAUCAUCAUCAUCAUCAUCUCUCCCUCUCCCUCUCUCCCUCUCUCCCUCCCUCUGACCACCCACCUUUGAAGAAAAAAAAAAAGACUCCAUUCUCUGAACCAGGACACUCCCUCAUUUCCUCAAUCACCAGCAUUCUUGGAUUUUGAGAGAAUCUUUGAAUCUCUCUCAUUUUCCAAUUCAAUCUCCUCUCCUCUCCUCUCUCUCUCUCUCUCUCUCUCUCUCUCUCUCUCUCUCUCUCCCUUUCUCUCUUCCUCCACUUCAUCAGCUUAUGUGUGUUGCUCUCCUCCGCCCAUUCAGCCCAUUUGCCACCCAUUAAGGGGUUCAUCUUUAUUUUUAUUUAAAAAAAAAAUUCAUUGUCAUUUUUGAGUAAUAUAAUUAAAUUUUGAUUUUUACAUCUAAAAUGGGUAAAAGAAAAAGUGAUGAAUAUAGCCUCUAUGCCUCUAUGCUAUUAAAGUAGAAAAUCUAAUCACAUCUCUUUGAUUAGUUGACUAAAAAAGAGGAAGUUGAUUUAUACCUAAAUUUAAUUUGUUUAGAAAAUAUGUUGGUCAAAAAGACAAAAAUAACUUUAAUAAGAUUUUUUUUUGUCUCUGCCAUAUGUUAAAUUUCAUUUCUUUUUUAGUAUGUGUGGAAGACAAAUUCAAAAUUAUGAUGGUGGACUAGAAUUAGAAGAGUAGUGGAAAUCAUAUCAACUAGGACUUCUUUUAUUGGGAUUUCGCUUCUUUUAUUCUCUUAUUCACAUGCUUUCUUUCUACUUCUAUUAAACUUGUCACGUUUAAUUCCAUACCUAAUUCAUCUAUUGGACCCUUUUUUUUAAUAAUUAUUUAAAAAUAAUAAUUAUACAACAUAUAUAAUUAAUAAAAGUAAAGUAUUAGAUAUAAAAUUAUUUUUAAAACAUUAAAAACAUUUUGGGUUCCAAACAUACCCUUAUUCUGUAAAACAUCAAAAAAUAAUUUUUUAAAACCAUUCUCAAAGAUUAUUUUUUGGAAUAAUUUUUUAAAAUAAUUACUAUAUAAGACUAUAAGAUAAUGAAAAAAAAAAGAAAUAAUUUUAAUAUUUAUAAAAAUGAUUUUUUUUAUUUUUAAUAUGUAUAUUAUUGGUAUGCAAGAGAUAAGAACGACCCUUUUAUUUUAUUUAAGAGCUCAAUAAAAUAACUUAUUUUUAUCUUAAUAAAUUAAUAAUAAUUUAAAGAGCAUAAAAAUGGAUAAAUAAUAGAAGUUUAGCAUAUCUUCCUCCAAAACGUAGCGUUUUGGCCGAAUAUAUGGGGAUCUGUAGGUGUGAUACUGUCUGAUUCGGACCACAGUACGAAACCUGAUUUCCAACAACAUUCAAAGACCCACAGAAAUAAUAAUUAAAAUAAAUUAAAAGGAAAAUAGAAAAAAAACAAAAAACCACGUUUUCACUCGUACUAUUACUUUCCUUCAAAGGCAAGUUCACCGCAUCAUCAUGAGAUUAAGACCAGGAAUGGACGGCGAGGAUCAAAUCACGCUCAUCGACCUCUAUAAAUAGGCAGUCCACCCAGCCAUAUCACACUCCGUCUCUGAAAAACCACCCCAAGCCCAACAACCACACCUCUGAUACUGGACGGUAGCCGGUGGCGAGAGAAAUGGUCAGAGGUCCGACGAGACAGACAGUGAGAGAAAGCAAAGGCAUUACUAUUCUACGAUGGUACGGUUCUUCAGUGUGGGGUCCGUCGUGGUGCUGGCGGUUCUAGCCGCGUCGCUGGUGGUCCUGCCGUUGAUGCUGCCGCCGCUGCCUCCCCCGCCGCUGAUGCUUCUCUUCUUCCCCGUGGGCAUUAUGGCCGCCCUCAUGUUGUUGGCAUUCUCGCCGACGGACGCCGCCGGACACGUGGCAGUUUGGGCGGUGUAGGUGGAGGAAGCUGGUUGGGUGGCUCCGAUUGUGGUUACAAUACUUUGCCUUGUUUUUUUUAACAAAGUUCAGAAUCAGUGGAUAAUGAUUUUGUCUCAGUGCUGACGUCAUUAUUGUUGUUCAU
rnacentral:lncRNA from 1 species